CUUUCUAAAGCUCUUGAAAUUGUAGAGAAAAUACUAUCAAACGUUCUUAAUUUCUUUGAUUCUUUCUUUAUUUUGUCUAUUUAUUUACAGGAAAUUAAUAAAUUUUGCGCUUUGCCAUUGUUGAAAUUUCCAAACACGCAGAAAGAGCAAAUACAGUUCAGAAGUGAGAGUUGGAAAGGACCAACAUGGCUGCAAAAGUUGUACCCUUGGCUGCAAGAGUUGUGAAGGACCAACAUGGCUACAAAAGUUGUACCGUUGGCUGCAAAAGUUGUACCGUGCAAUUUCAACAAAUAGACAAGGAAUUAAUAAAUUUUGCGCUUUGCCAUUGUUGAAAUUUCCAAACACGCAGAAAGAGCAAAUACAGUUCAGAAGGGAAAACUGUCGAACACUUUUCAACUAUUGCCAAAUAGGGGUAUUUUUGUCAUUCUGCUUUCCCGUCUGAAAGUGAUAAGCCAGGCAGGGAAAUUAUUAUCACUUCAACUUUUCAAAGGCUGCAUUGUGUACGUGUCUUUCUCUCUAUGCAUUCAUCAAACACCUACUCUUCUUCAAUUGACCUAUAAUUUUUAAGGCUUUAAGGGUCAUCCCCAUUUCCCCCCCUGUGCUAUACUUUUUGUUUCUGCUUUUGCUUGUGUCUUGCUUCCUUUUUUUUUUCUUUUUUUUUUAUUAUAUAUACUAGAUACAAGAUCCGUUUUAGCACGGACUUAAUAUAUGUUACUUUUUCUGUCGAUUUUUAUUGUCAUGUUAUAUUUUUCAAAAAUCAAUU